ensembl:rRNA 5S_rRNA 5S ribosomal RNA
GUCUAUGUCCAUGCCACCCUAAACAUGCCGAUUUCAUUUGAUCUCAGAAGCUAAGCAGAGUCGGGCCUAGUUAGUACUUGGAUGGGAAACUACCUAGGAAUACCAGAUGCUGUAGGCG